CCCACCCACGCCCCUUUCUCUCUCACUGCGACAAAUCCAUCCCUAACGAACCCAGUCACCAUCCCAUCGCGGAACUCUUCUCCUCCGGCGGAGACAGACCGCGGGUGCCAUCGUCGCCGUGGAAGGUCUGCUCGCUUCUCCUCGAUCCUCUCCUCGACGUCGCACGAAGGCCUGCUCGGAGCUGUUGUGUCGCCGCCGCGCAGGGCUGCUUCGUCGUCGCCUGUGCUCGCCUCGCCGUUCUCCACCGCGAGUGACUUCUGCUUGUUUCUUCGAGUGACGUCGCCGUUCUGCUCGCCUCUCUGCUAAGAUCCAUUUAUUUCCUCAUUGUGGGCAUGUCAUGGACAUUGUCUGUUAAAAAGAAUAGAAGUAUAGUGCCCGUUCAACUUGAAUAUAAUCCGAAUUUAGUUUGUAUCCAUAUGCAUAGGAGAUGGGUUCUCGAGGAAGGCCAUUAUUUGAUCUCAAUGAGCCACCUGCAGAAGAUAAUGAUGAGAGCGAUGGUAUUAUUUGUCUCCAGCCCCAAAUGACUCAGCCAUCAACAAAUCCUAACUCUUCUGAUUUAUUUGCAGCAUCAUCUGCUGCCCAAGGAAUAAUAAAUAAUCAUGCUUUUUCACACGCGUCAUCUGUCUCUGGAUUUCAACCUUUUGUUCGGCCUAAAUCCUCCUCUUGUAUCCCUGAUGUAGAUGCUGUAUCGAAGGGAGCAGAAGAACAAGAUACAAAUGCUAGUUCUAAGUCUGGCAAAGAGGACGAUUUGAAAGUUAUGGAUUCACGGAUACUAAGUUCAACAACUGCUCAAUCCACAGAGAGGGAAGAAGGGGAAUGGUCUGAUGACGAGGUCUCUGCCGAUGUAAAUGGAUCUCAUAAUUUGCUCCAACAAAGUCAAGUGUCGCAAGAGCAAACAACAUCUGGGAUGGUGGAUGGGGGUGGAGUGGCUUCUGAAAGUAAGUCUGGCAAUAUUACUUCUGAAAGCAAGUCUGGUAAUACUAAAGGUCCUGAUAGUACAAUUGAUGAAAAGAGUAGCCGUGCCUCUGUAGGUCUAGAGUCAAAUUCUACUGAACAGAAGAGCAACAUUGUCCCAAAUUCAGAUGGCAGUAUAAAAAGUGAAGCUUCUAAUGAUGCUCAAGAGGAGCCAAGUUUAAUUCCUAAGCAAAAAGAAGUGAAAGGUAUUGAAGCUAGUCAUGCUCUUAGGUGUGCAAAUAAUCCUGGGAAAAGAAAGAUUGACCAGCGCAAAGAGGAAAUGUUGGGAAAGAAACGAAAUAGACAGACUAUGUUUCUUAACUUGGAAGAUGUCAAGCAGGCAGGUCCUAUGAAAUCUUCAACACCAAGAAGGCAGAAUUUUUCAUCCCCUAUUAUAACUCGUACCGUAAAGGAGGUCCGUAAUGUUGCUGCACAAGUUGAGCGUGUUGGAGCAGCUAAGGAUCAGAAACAGGUUGAGACAUCUUUUGCUGAAGGUGGCAUCCAUGCUGACUUACAUGAACCUAAAUCUGAUUCUAAUGGUGAUAAUUCUGGACCACUUGGUAGGUCUAGGAGGCUAAACAGUGAGACGGAACCUCCGGCAGAGGUUAAUUUACCACCCAUUCCAAGACAGGGUUCAUGGAAACAACCAACAGAUUCAAGACAGCAGAAGAAUGUACUUGGUUCAAGUAGGAAGUUGGGGCAGACUGGUCAAAGCUCCAACUCCAAUGAUGUCAAGGUGGGAAACAAAAAACAUGCUCCUAUGAAGAAGCAGACUCCUGUCAGCAUCCAGCCCCAAGACACAUCUGUUGAACGCCUUAUACGGGAGGUUACCAGUGAAAAAUUUUGGCACCACCCAGAGGAAACUGAGCUACAAUGUGUCCCUGGACGGUUUGAGUCGGUCGAAGAGUAUGUCAGAGUAUUUGAACCUUUACUCUUUGAGGAAUGUCGGGCUCAAUUAUACAGUACAUGGGAAGAAUCAAUGGAGACAGUAUCAAGGGAUACUCAUAUUAUGGUGAGAGUAAAAGCAAAUGAAUCAAGAGAAAGAGGAUGGUAUGAUGUGAAACUACUUCCUCCAUUACAUGACUUCAAAUGGCCAUUUAAGGAGGGAGAUGUUGCAGUCCUAUCAUCUCCUAGGCCUGGAUCAGUCAGGUCCAAGCAGAGCAGUGCAUCUUUAGCUCAGGAUGAUGGGGAAGCGGAAAUCACUGGACGAGUGGUUGGAACAGUUAGGCGACACAAACCUAUUGAUACCCGUGAUCCAACUGGUGCAAUUCUCCAUUAUUAUGUUGGGGACUCUUAUGAUCCUAUCAGGGUUGAUGAUGAUCAUAUCAUAAGAAAACUUCAAAUUGGAAGCAUUUGGUACCUCACAAUACUUGGAUCUCUUGCUACCACACAGAGGGAGUAUGUUGCUCUACAUGCAUUUCGUCGCUUAAAUUCACAGAUGCAAACUGCUAUCCUUCAGCCUAGUCCUGAACACUUCCCUAAAUAUGAGCAGCAGACCCCUGCCAUGCCUGAAUGCUUUACACCAAACUUUGUUGAUCAUCUUCGUAGGACCUUUAAUGAACCCCAGUUGGCAGCAAUCCAAUGGGCUGCCACGCAUACAGCUGCUGGUACAAGUAGUGGAACAACAAAAAGGCAAGAACCGUGGCCCUUUACCCUUGUUCAGGGACCUCCAGGAACAGGAAAGACGCAUACUGUAUGGGGAAUGUUGAAUGUCAUUCACCUUGUGCAGUAUCAGCAUUACUACACCUCCUUGCUUAAGCAUGUAGCCCCGGAAAGCUACAAGCAAGCUAAUGAGAUCAGUUCAGAUAAUGCACCCAUGGGAUCUAUUGAUGAAGUUCUUCAAAACAUGAACCAGAAUCUCUUGCGUACUUUGCCUAAGUUGGUCCCCAAACCUAGAAUGUUGGUUUGUGCUCCAUCUAAUGCUGCCACUGAUGAGCUUCUUGCUCGUGUCCUUGAUCGUGGAUUUAUUGAUGGUGAGAUGAAAGUAUAUCGACCCGAUGUGGCUCGAGUUGGGGUUGAUUCUCAGACACGUGCUGCCCAAGCAGUUUCUGUUGAGCGUAGAACUGAACAGCUUUUGGGCAAGAGUCAGGAGGAAGUUCUUGGAUGGAUGCAUCAGUUAAAGAAUCGCGAGGCUCAGUUGACUCAGCAGUUACAUUGUCUUCAUAGAGAACUUAAUGCUACUGCCGCUGCAGUUCGUUCCCAAGGAUCUGUUGGUGUUGACCCUGAUGUUCUCAUGGCCAGGGAUCAGAGUCGGGAUGCUCUACUGCAAAAUCUUGCUGCUGUAGUUGAAGGAAGGGACAAGGUUUUGGUUGAGAUGUCUCGCCUUGCGCUUUUGGAAAGUAGGUUCCGACCUGGUAGUGGUUUCAAUUGGGAAGAGGCCCGUGCCAGUUUGGAGGCCAGUUUUGCCAAUGAAGCAGAGAUAGUUUUCACUACAGUUUCCAGCAGUGGUCGCAAGUUGUUCUCUCGUCUUUCCCAUGGCUUUGAUAUGGUGGUCAUUGACGAGGCAGCUCAAGCCAGUGAGGUGGGAGUUCUGCCUCCCCUCUCUCUUGGUGCAGCUCGAUGUGUUCUGGUCGGAGAUCCUCAGCAGCUUCCUGCUACAGUUAUUAGCAAGGCUGCUGGAACAUUGAUGUACAGUAGGAGUCUUUUUGAGAGAUUCCAACAAGCAGGUUGCCCGACAAUGUUGUUGUCUGUGCAGUAUAGAAUGCAUCCCCAAAUUCGAGAUUUCCCUUCUAGGUACUUCUAUCAGGGGCGACUUACUGACAGUGAAAGCGUGGUUAAAUUGCCUGAUGAGGUAUACCACAAGGACCCUUUACUUAGACCUUAUAUAUUCUAUGAUAUCAGACAUGGACGGGAGUCUCACAGGGGUGGAUCAGUCUCUUAUCAAAACAUACAUGAAGCACAAUUUUGUCUCCGAUUGUAUGAGCAUCUUCAGAAAACUUUGAAAUCUUUGGGUAUGGGAAAGAUUAGUGUUGGCAUAAUUACUCCUUACAAGCUGCAGCUGAAAUGCCUCCAGCGUGAAUUUGAGGAAGUCUUAAAUUCGGAAGAAGGGAAGGACCUAUAUAUUAAUACUGUAGAUGCUUUCCAAGGUCAAGAACGAGAUGUCAUUAUAAUGUCGUGUGUGCGUGCUUCUAGUCAUGGUGUUGGCUUUGUUGCAGAUAUUAGACGGAUGAAUGUUGCACUUACACGUGCAAGGAGGGCCCUUUGGGUCAUGGGAAAUGCAAAUGCUCUGGUACAAUCUGAUGAUUGGGCUGCGUUGAUUAUUGAUGCAAAAUCCCGAAAUUGCUAUAUGGAGAUGGACUCCCUUCCGAAGGACUUUAUGGUAUCGAAGGGACCUACUUACACGCCACUGCCUGGUAAGGCUUCCUCAAAUAUGAGGGGCAUGAGAUCAGGUGGACAAAGGUUUAGAGGAAUGGAGGCGCAUGGGGAUCCCAGGAUGGGCGCACCAUGUGAAGAUGAUGAAAAGAUGGGUGCACCAGCAAGCUUCAGAAAUGGGAAUCAUCGAUCUUCAAGAUAUCCAAUGGAGAAUUCUUUAGACGAUUUUGACCAUAUGGGCGAUAAAUCCAGAGAUUCCUGGCAGUAUGGUGCACAGAAGAAGCAGAACUCUGCUGGAAAUGGGGGAAAGAGAGAUGUGUAACCAUGGCUUAUCUGCACAUUAUUGUCCAUCUUGGGGGGGAUUUAUGGCGCUAUCUGACUUCCUAAUUCUGUGAUCUCUCACCAUGGAAAGCUCGUAGACUGGAUCGGCCGGAGCUGUAUGAGCCCGAGACAAAGAUAUGCACAGCCUUGGAGGACAGACCAGCAUCCAGUGCGGAUAAGGCCUACAUUGUUACGUCAGACACGCGUUGGUUCAUGCAAUUUUGUGCAGCAGAUUGAUGUGCUGCGCGGAAGACUGCAGACUUUAGUCCGCCAACAAUGUAUGAAAGUGAACGGGGACCAAGCUGGUUGGAGGCGGAGUACUCAUUUUUGUGUCAGUGCCAAAUAUUAAAGGAAAACUGCUACAGGGAAUUUUAGGGAUCUAAGGUAGUAGUUUGCUGUCAACUGACUCUGUACAUAACAUGGAUUCACAACAUUGUUUUUAGCAAAUUGUUUUGUGUUUCAUUUAUGUUAAACGGAAGUGUUUCACUUCCAAAGGAGGAAGAAAAGGUUACCCUUCUUUUCUUGUUACUUCAAUACCCAAAAGGUGUGCUUGUAUGACAUUUUCAUUAUUUAAUUAAUUUUUUUAAACGGUC